rnacentral:lncRNA from 1 species
CUAAAAAAAAUUAAAAAUAAAAAUGCUUUGAUAAUUUAGUCUUUAAUUUUCUAUACUUUAUAAGCCAUUGAUUAAUUUCUUAAUUAUCUUUGGAUUUUAAAUUCGUAAUAAUAAGAUCUCAAAUUCAAAUACUUCAUAAACCCAUUUACAAAUAUGUUAGAUUAAUAACAAAUUCAAUUUUAAGCUAACAAUAGAGCUUAUGAAUCAUAAUAUUUAUUCCGAUAACCCUGAAGACACAAUUUCGAGUUUUAUGAAGUGUCUGAGAAGCCAGUUGAUUGCUAUUCUGUUCAUACAGAAAAUUUCGUGAUUCAUAGCAAGAGGAAAGAAAAAAUCUCAAAUUUUUUUUAUUUUUUUUUAAUUAAUAUUAUUACAUAUUUAGUUGAUCGAUCAAGAAAUCGUUGAGCGAAAGUAUUAAAUUCAUAUAUUCUAAAACAAUACACUGUGGUUUAAUUUUAUAAAUUUAAAAUAACUGAUCGUUACGAGAUCUAUUAGAAUUUUAAGUCUUCUUAUUAUUGAUAUCUACACCUUUUUUGUUUUGAAAAUAUAUAAAUCUUAUUUUUUUUCUUUCAUUCUAAUCAACAUCCUUUUUUUUUUUUUGAAAUUGUUUUAAAUCAAAUGUGUAUUUCAUUAUAUUGUGACUGAUAAAAAUAUGUUUGCGAAAGCAACAUUUGAACAGAUUGAGUAAAUAGGCUAUGAUAUAGUAAAUCUUUAAAUUUAAUUUAAUUCUCAAUACCAAAUAAAUAUUUCUUCAAAAAGGGUUACAAAUAAAUUAGCUAUACUGUGGAGUAUAUGAUAUAUCGAUCCCCCUGAUGUAACAAAUAUAACAUAUAACAAUAUGUGUUUAAGUAUGAGUAUAUUCAGAAUACAUUGGAAAUAACGAAAAUCCAAAUGAAACAUUAAGCAUAAAUUUCUGAUUUCUAACUUGCCCUUUUUAUUUUAUUUUAUUCAUCAUAGUUGUCUACUAUUCCAACACAAGUUAUGAUGUUAAUGAGUUGCUAGAAUGUUUAUUUGCGAGACAGUAGUAUAAAUAUCCUUUCGUAGCUGCUGUACGUUAUAACGAACAACUUAACUUUCUUAAAUUUUUCUCAAUAAAUACUUAAAUUUACAUUGAAGAAUAUAGCUGAAAAUAAAUAAACUCACGAUGGCAAUUUCUCAGCCUCUUUAAGUAGAUUUGCUUUUAUAGUCACUAUGAUCUACUGGUUUAGUUCUGUGUGCUGCUUCGUCAAAGUUGUAAGUCUUCGCUUAAUUAUUAGCGAAACUUUAUUUUAUCAGAUAGGGAUAAUAUCCAAGAAAAUUGUACUACCAAGCUGCUUUGAGAAGAUAAUACAAGUACUGAGAUGAGUGUAAAAAAGUGCCAAGGAAAACGAGCUGCGCCCUUUAACUUCAUCUGUCUAUAUUCUAAAUGCCACCUUUAAAACAAAAAUCUAACUUGUCUUAUAAUGUAAAAACCCUAAAGCUUCGCACUUAUGGUGACACAUUUAGUACAAAUUCUUUCUAUUCCAUACGUUCUUUGCUGAAUAAAGAGCGAAGACCGUCCCCUUUAUAUUCGAGCCGUCAUUAAUUUUUCAUUCAAAAACUAAGAUAGUAAGGCACAUCGAUAACAAUCUAAAGUUGUGAAAAAAUUCUUAUAAAACGGAAUUCUUAAAUACUUAUUUCUUCCAAAUUAUUUAAGCAAACCUUCAAAAGAAGAAUUAUCCUUCAAUGAUUUAAACUCAACAACUAUCAAAUGAAGUAAUUCAAGAAUAUAACUGUAGUCAAAUAUAUACAUCUAUAUUCCCCACGUCCAUAAGAUUUGUAUAUUUGUUUACAACGGGUAUUUUUAGUUAGAAGAACGGUUGCUUGUAAUGAUGAGGAAGGAUUCGUGAGCCGGAUAUAGCUGGAAUAAUGUUCAAUACCUUUUCCUUUAAUAGAUCUAUUUUACAAAAUAAAUUUCGUUGAUUAAUAAAACAAAAGAUCAUUUAAAAAUCGUGCGCUUCACAAAUUACUUUAAUUUUCUUUUGACACAAGAUUGUGUUCCUUUCCAAACUAAAAAUAUAAUUGGGUUACUUCUUAUAUUGAUAGCAAAGUUAGCUUCAAAAUUUUAAGACAAAAAGGUGU